rnacentral:rRNA from 1 species
UACAGAGGUGGCAAGCGUUGUCCGGAAUUACUGGGCGUAAAGGGCGCGUAGGCGGCCCGUCAAGUCCCGUGUGAAAGCCCCCGGCUCAACCGGGGAACGGCGCGGGAAACUAGCAGGCUUGAGUUCGGGAGAGGGAAGCGGAAUUCCGGGUGUAGCGGUGAAAUGCGCAGAUAUCCGGAGGAACACCGGUGGCGAAGGCGGCUUCCUGGACCGACACUGACGCUGAGGCGCGAAAGCUAGGGGAGCAAACGGG